CAAACCCUUUGCCAGCGUAAAGUACCCUGGUAACUGGUGUCAAAAUGUCUUUCGGAACAUAACAAAUGAAUUCUCCCCGAUACCUCCUAAGGAUGAUGACUUAGCACUCACUUUCCCUAGAAGUAAUGGCUACAGAGUUGAAGAGGGGCAGAUAAUCCAGGAUCUUCCCAGAAGAGACAUUCCCACAGCAGGCAGGUUGUUGGUGGUACGGUGGGAACAAGUACUCGGGCCAAGGAGAAUCAAGAUAAAGACUACCUCUCCCACUUGUUAGUAAGCUUUCCAGGCUCUUGUUCUUUCCUCCACAAGAUUUUGGAGAUCCAGAAAAGGAAAAGACAUGAUAAGAGAAGAUGCAUCCUGAACAACUUUUAUUAUGAAGAAGCUGAGGCUCUGACAAGUGCAGUUACUUUCACG
rnacentral:lncRNA from 1 species